CAGUUCCGCGUUUGAUGUGACGAAGGUUUCCAUGAUUCUGACAAUCGAUUACUAUUAAUAGUACUAUUGUUAGUAACAUUGUUAUCGUUGGCGAGCAACUCGCCGAUUUUUAUUUCCUUUUCUUCUUUCGCGUAUAUAUGGAAAGUUUAAGAACUCGAAAAUACGUGGAAUACACUUAACGUGCAAAAAUGUAUAAAGGUACGUGAAGUAUAGUGUUUGCUAUAAUAUUCGGUAGAUACAUAGCGUUCGGUAUGUGUUUAGUGUGGCACUAAAUGUGAUUUUGAGGAUCGAUUAUUAUCGGCGAGUGGACUACAGUUUUUCGCGGAUUUUGCGGCGAAUGUAAAAAUUCAGAGAUGCGUAGAAUACGCGCAACGUGAGAACACACGAGCCGCUGCAUAUGCGAAAGCGGUGCAAAAGUCACAGAGAAGUUGAUUACCGAGUAACGAGAGAUAAAAUGGGAAUUUUGUAAAGCGUGGAGCGGACGAUUCUCAGCGAGAAACUAACCAAGAUUUACCUACGUUUACUUUUACUUCUGCACGAAACAAGAUGAAGGUCACGCUCUCGUAAUGUGCUGUUAAAUCAAAUGCGCGAAAAAUUGAUUUACAUCGCGUUUACGUUACGCGGCUCGUAUCGUAAGAUGUCUAAAGUACGGUGCUGUAAUAUUUAUGGACGUACGAAGGUUUCGGCGAUCUCGAUGAUCCACGAUUAGCGGGCAGCAGCAAAAUUACAAAUUUACUAUAACGAUGCGGAUAUUUCGAGCCGGCUGCAAAUGCAAGCAGACACGUUGGUUCGUUUGCGAUGGUGAAACGAAAGGAGACGGAAAGAGAGGAAAGAUAUAAUAUACGAUAGAAUUAUGGAGGUCAGAUUGAAGAAAGAAAAAUGAGGGUCAGUGAGGACUUCUGAGAAUUCUCCAUCUUCUCCUCACGAAAUCGUCUUUUCGAUAAAUCCAAAGCGCGUGCUCCGGCACGGUUCUCCAAUUUUGAUAUGCCCGUCUAUUUUCAACGACCAAGAAGACUCGUAAAUAAUAUUAAAAAUGGCUUUAUCGCUAAACUGCGGAUCUUCACGUACGUGCAUUACGUAUUUAUAGAAAAUUUGAAGGUGCAACGUUCCACGAAAUGCACACGCGAUAUCCAAUAAAGUACAGUGCUUUCUACACUGCUCGGUGAACUGCAACGAGGCACAAAGACAGUUCGAUCGUCUGAGAGUUUUUAUUCGCGUCGAGGGAGUUGCAAAACUCGUGGAGAACGCGGCUGAAUGAGCCCACGCGCAUUCCCUGACUGUCGUACGCGGUCCAAGAUAUUGACAUUGGCCCUUUUCCACCGGAUCUGAUCGUUUUAUUAUGCAGCCAGCGGAACUCGGUUUCGAGGAUUGGCACAGUUUCAAGUGCACCAAGCUACUCAGACGUUACACGACCCAGUGCUAGCCUCCGUCGCUUUAUACACGUCCUAAAACAUUUAUAUCACGGUCGAUAUUUCACGGUAAAUUGGAAGAAACGAUCUCGAAUAACGUUAUAUCCAAGCAGACGAAAAAUCGAGUGGCCAUUCGUUUCAGAAAUCAGUUGAUAUUAGAUCGUCGAGAUUAUGCGAGUAUUCGAUAAAAAUAAUGAAAUUAUCUUUACUUUGCAUCGUAUUUGAAUAAUUCGAGCGUUCGAUGAAAAUAAUGGAGAAAUUUUUCAUGCACGUCUGCGACGAGAGACAUCGUUUUACGAUGUGUUUCUAAGAAGAAAAUAUUUCUGUCGGACAUUUGCUGCUAUACAUCGAUACACCUUCGAGUUUCUCGUCAAAAAAUCGAACUUCAGAGAAGAUUCUUUCCGACGUUACACGUGACUCUUAAAACAAUAGAACUGCGUACCGAGAAGAUUUUCAUUGGACAAUGAACGAGGCAGAUACUCGACUAAUUCCAUUUAGCCGAAGCAUCCUGUACAUUCUACAGAAAUUUGCAUACACGCGACCUAUAAUCUAUAAUCCAUAAGCUAACGUGAAUUAAAUUACCUAUAUACAGGGUGUUCACGUUCAGAAGCGAAGAAAAACGUAACGCGAUACUCUCGUGUUUGCGUCUCGUUUGUCUUAAACCUGAGAAAUUCUACGAAAUUAAAGUUACGAUAUCUUCGAGUCUUUCACGCUCCGCUGCCUUCGUUCGAGCGGACACAAAGAGAUCGCCGUAUGGCGAUCGUAUGGCAGGAAAUUACAAGCUGCAAAUUUUUCGAAAAUAUGUGUUUUCUUGCAGCUUUGCCCUCGAAAUGUAAAUAGAAAAACCAAAUAAAAAGAAAGAAAAAAGUGAAAAAUACGCCAAGCGCAGAGGGUUGAACUCUGCUCGGUUUUCGAGCCCAAUACGGCAACUAAGUGAUUGCGGAUUUUAUCGUUAGAUGGUAAUGACAAAAUCUGCAAUCACUUAGUUGCCAACCCAAUAUAAAAAGAACGCGAAACAAGGCAAUCAGAUGCUGAUUUGUAGGAUGAAGCGAUGGAGCAUAGCACAGGCAAAUACAUUUUGGAUGGCGGAGAAACGGAGGUGUAUUUUUGUAUGCGAAAAGGAAUCGGAAACGCUGAGACGCUUGAUAGAGGACCGUGGAGGAAUAGAAUGGUUAAGGAAGUUAGAAAGAAACGACUGCAUCAUAUAAGGAAAGGUAGGGAGAAAGGAAGAGCAGACGUGGGAACGCCAAAAAGAGAAUGUGCUACAAACAAGUGAGAUUAAAUUUAAGCAAUUAACCGAGAGUAACUAGAGUGUAACUAAGAGUAUGUUCAAGUAUUGGAUCGUCCCAAAAGUUCCUUUCGUUUUUGUCCCAGUAGGACAAAAUGGAUCACACGUAAUUCGAUAAAAUAAUAUAAAAUAAAAAAUGUUGUGCGUCCAUUGUUUGCUUAUAAAACGAAGGAAAUUUUUGGGGCAACCUAACGUUAUAUUAACAAUAAUCUAGUGUGUAUUGAGGUUGAAAGAGCGUGCGGAUAAGAAAUCUAUGCGAAUCUCAUAUUGUAGCCAGAAGGCAAAAAUAAAUAAAAUAAUAGAAAUAAAUUCUUAUGUAUAUA